rnacentral:misc_RNA from 1 species
CCGAGUUAUACAACUCAUCAACCCUGUGAACAUACCUAAAACGUUGCUUCGGCGGGAACAGACGGCCCUGUAACAACGGGCCCGCCCCCGCCAGAGGACCCCCUAACUCUGUUUUUAUAAUGUUUUUCUGAGGUAAACAAGCAAAAUAAAAUUA